CAUGCUGAUCGUUUGAAAUUAAAAAAUACAUUAUAUAUCUCUCUAUUCUCUCUACAAAAUUUUGCAGAAACAGCAAAUCAACCAAAAUUUUCAACAGAAUCGAGGCUGUGAAUUAUAAUGGCAAACAAGUACUAUACUGUUGUUGGUGGCGUCGCUAUUCAAAACUCGUACAAGCUCAUCACGGCUGCGACUGGAUUGACCUGUUGUGUAUUCUAUGGUGGUUCGAAAAUUUUGACUUCUCAGUACGGUGUGAAACCUCUGGAUACGACUAUGAGGUUUUUGAAUGGAACUGCGAUGCUGAUGGCUGGAUCCCUGGCGUUUGACGCGUAUGACUUUAAUAAGAAAAUUGCGAGGAUGAGAGACAUGGAUGUGGAGGAGUUUAAUAAGAAGCUUGCGAAGUUGAUAAAGAUGAGAACUGAGAAGAUUCCAAAGCCAUUAGUAUUGUUUUUGACUGCAUACCCUAUGUUCGGGGUUGCUGGAAUCAUUUGCAUUGGCGAACAAUAUGAAACCAUAAAAAAAAAUGACUUUGAAAAAGUCCCAGUCUAGGAUUGAGGAACUUUUUAUUUUCUUGUUUUUCCAAAUUUUAUUUUCCUUUUCAGUUGCUAGGGUAUGAAUAAUUGUUCUGCAAUCGGUUUCCAAGUAUGUUUUCUUUGAAUUCUCGUUUGAUUC